rnacentral:rRNA from 1 species
GGCGGCGUGCCUAAUACAUGCAAGUCGAGCGGACAGAUGGGAGCUUGCUCCCUGAUGUUAGCGGCGGACGGGUGAGUAACACGUGGGUAACCUGCCUGUAAGACUGGGAUAACUCCGGGAAACCGGGGCUAAUACCGGAUGCUUGUUUGAACCGCAUGGUUCAAACAUAAAAGGUGGCUUCGGCUACCACUUACAGAUGGACCCGCGGCGCAUUAGCUAGUUGGUGAGGUAACGGCUCACCAAGGCAACGAUGCGUAGCCGACCUGAGAGGGUGAUCGGCCACACUGGGACUGAGACACGGCCCAGACUCCUACGGGAGGCAGCAGUAGGGAAUCUUCCGCAAUGGACGAAAGUCUGACGGAGCAACGCCGCGUGAGUGAUGAAGGUUUUCGGAUCGUAAAGCUCUGUUGUUAGGGAAGAACAAGUACCGUUCGAAUAGGGCGGUACCUUGACGGUACCUAACCAGAAAGCCACGGCUAACUACGUGCCAGCAGCCGCGGUAAUACGUAGGUGGCAAGCGUUGUCCGGAAUUAUUGGGCGUAAAGGGCUCGCAGGCGGUUCCUUAAGUCUGAUGUGAAAGCCCCCGGCUCAACCGGGGAGGGUCAUUGGAAACUGGGGAACUUGAGUGCAGAAGAGGAGAGUGGAAUUCCACGUGUAGCGGUGAAAUGCGUAGAGAUGUGGAGGAACACCAGUGGCGAAGGCGAC